UAGGCCAGAUGUGGAAGCCCGGUAACGGGUGAAGCUGACUGGUACUAAUAGGCCGAGGGCUUGUCCUCAGUUG
rnacentral:rRNA from 15 species